rnacentral:rRNA from 1 species
CCGGCCGCGGGAAUUCGAUUCAGGCCUAACACAUGCAAGUCGAGCGGUAGAGAGAAGCUUGCUUCUCUUGAGAGCGACGAACGGGUGAGUAAUGCCUAGGAAUCUGCCUGGUAGUGGGGGAUAACGUUCGGAAACGAACGCUAAUACCGCAUACGUCCUACGGGAGAAAGCAGGGGACCUUCGGGCCUUGCGCUAUCAGAUGAGCCUAGGUCGGAUUAGCUAGUUGGUGAGGUAAUGGCUCACCAAGGCGCCGAUCCGUAACUGGUCUGAGAGGAUGAUCAGUCACACUGGAACUGAGACACGGUCCAGACUCCUACGGGAGGCAGCAGUGGGGAAUAUUGGACAAUGGGCGAAAGCCUGAUCCACCAAAGGCGCGUGUGUGAAGAAGGUCUUCGGAU